rnacentral:rRNA from 1 species
AGUGAACGCUGGCGGUAGGCCUAACACAUGCAAGUCGAACGGCAGCACAGUAAGAUCUUGCUCUUACGGGUGGCGAGUGGCGGACGGGUGAGGAAUACAUCGGAAUCUACUUUUUCGUGGGGGAUAACGUAGGGAAACUUCCGCUAAUACCGCAUACGACCUACGGGUGAAAGCAGGAGAUCUUCGGACCUUUCGCGAUUGAAUGAGCCGAUGUCGGAUUAGCUAGUUGGCGGGGUAAAGGCCCACCAAGGCGACGAUCCGUAGCUGGUCUGAGAGGAUGAUCAGCCACACUGGAACUGAGACACGGUCCAGACUCCUACGGGAGGCAGCAGUGGGGAAUAUUGGACAAUGGGCGCAAGCCUGAUCCAGCCAUACCGCGUGGGUGAAGAAGGCCUUCGGGUUGUAAAGCCCUUUUGUUGGGAAAGAAAAGCAGCAGGUUAAUACCCCGCUGUUCUGACGGUACCCAAAGAAUAAGCACCGGCUAACUUCGUG